GGCCGCAUAGCUCAGUGGUAGAGUGUUACUUUCCGACUGCCUCACGUAACAGUGAGCCUGGAGGUGACUGGUAAAUGUCGUCGGUUCGACCCCGGCUGUGGUCG
rfam:Tilletiaria anomala TBC 951 K437scaffold_59, whole genome shotgun sequence.